rnacentral:rRNA from 1 species
CCUACGGGAGGCAGCAGUGGGGAAUUUUGGACAAUGGGCGCAAGCCUGAUCCAGCAAUGCCGCGUGCAGGAUGAAGGCCUUCGGGUUGUAAACUGCUUUUGUACGGAACGAAAAAGUCUACCUUAAUACGGUGGGCUCAUGACGGUACCGUAAGAAUAAGCACCGGCUAACUACGUGCCAGCAGCCGCGGUAAUACGUAGGGUGCGAGCGUUAAUCGGAAUUACUGGGCGUAAAGCGUGCGCAGGCGGUUAUAUAAGACAGAUGUGAAAUCCCCGGGCUCAACCUGGGACCUGCAUUUGUGACUGUAUAGCUAGAGUACGGUAGAGGGGGAUGGAAUUCCGCGUGUAGCAGUGAAAUGCGUAGAUAUGCGGAGGAACACCGAUGGCGAAGGCAAUCCCCUGGACCUGUACUGACGCUCAUGCACGAAAGCGUGGGGAGCAAACAGGAUUAGAUACCCUGGUAGUCCACGCCCUAAACGAUGUCAACUGGUUGUUGGGUCUUCACUGACUCAGUAACGAAGCUAACGCGUGAAGUUGACCGCCUGGGGAGUACGGCCGCAAGGUUGAAACUUAAGGAAUUGACGG